CUGUGUUGUGCAAAGAAUGGGUACGUUUGAUAUGGCACUUCAGAUACAGCCGAAGUGCCGAAGUAGUCGAAGUGGCCGCCAUUAGACAAUCGAACAUGUGGCGGCGGCCAUUUUAAUGCAGUUGAACAUGGUCAGCGGUGUGUGCCGUCAAAUCCCUGGAACGGAAAUCAGCCACACAUUUGAACGAACACCGCUGACCCGUACCUUCACCGACCCUUCGACACUGCGGCUGGAGAACACACGUUCGAAUGGGACUUUGUCAUCUUUUUGUGUAAAAUAGACUGCAACUCAACUAACGACCAC